rnacentral:rRNA from 1 species
CAGUCGCCACGGGAAUACGUAGGUGGCAAGCGUUGUCCGGAAUUAUUGGGCAUAAAGGGCUCGCAGGCGGCUUCUUAAGUCUGAUGUGAAAGCCCCCGGCUCAACCGGGGAGGGUCAUUGGAAACUGGGAAACUUGAGUGCAGAAGAGGAGAGUGGAAUUCCACGUGUAGCGGUGAAAUGCGUAGAGAUGUGGAGGAACACCAGUGGCGAAGGCGACUCUCUGGUCUGUAACUGACGCUGAGGAGCGAAAGCGUGGGGAGCGAACAGGAUUAGAUACCCGCGUAGUCCCUGUCUCUUAUAC